CCACCUCCCUCAUUUUGUUAAACCCUACGAAUGAUAUCAGCCGCCCAAAGCUCCUCUGCCCCUCUCAAAAAUUCCGGCGGUCGGAGCCGGAUUCCGGUCAGUUUAUCGGCCGCCGCACACCCCUAACCCACUCUACUCUCUUAAAUACACCAUCGCCUACCUCCCUCUCCCUCGACACACAGAGCCGGCGGGUCCGACGACACAAUUUGGCAGCCAGUGAUGACCGGCAAACUCUCCGGCGACAGUUCGUUUACCGACGACAUCCCAACACCCUUCUUCUUCCACCCCCUCACAUCACCACACCCUCGCUCUUUCUCUGUCUCUCUGUCGAGCAACAACAACAGCAGCGCCGAUAAUGACAACGACGGAUGAUGUUGAUGAUGAACCUGAUGAUAUCGAUGAUGACGAGAUGAUAGUGGUGCAAGCCAUUGGCAGCCGGCGGCGACAGCCGACGACUGGGAAAGCCGGCCGACGUUAGUAACAUCACGACAGCGGUUGAGGUGACGAUGGGUUCUCUUCAGGUUCGAGUUGUGGGUUCGAGUAAACGGAGGCAAUGGACGUGGCGGUGGUUUUCUCGGGUCCGAGUUUGGAUGUUCGGGUCUCGGGUCGCACCCACAACCAACAGUUCUUAACCUACUGACUUUGACAGCUCUAGCAAUUUCCUUUCCUGCGCUACAACCUUUGAGAGAUUCUAUAUCUCGAUUAAGUGACUAUUAAUGAUUUCUUUUUUUUUUUUACAAAAUACCAUAGGACGAGUAGAAUAUUCUCUUUAUUAUUAGGAUGUUAUAUGUUGAUGGUCUAUUUGUUGUAUACAACUUGUGUCAAUUGAAAAAGGAUGAGAGGAUUCAUGUGUUCAUGUAUAAACUGCCAUACACUCGAAAUGGGUAAUUGAAUGUUGAGUUUUGUUGUAUAAGAAGGAUAAUGUUUGCUGUUUGAGUGACUAGUGCAUAAGAACAUUAAUUUAAUCACCAGUCUUGAAAGAUGCAAACUUUCACUGUUUCACAUAACUACAUUUUUCUGUUCAACUUUUUAACACUUUACCUCAUAUUUCUAUAUCAAGUUACUAAUUUUCUUGUGUUUUUACAGACUUUGACAGCUCUAGCAACUUCCUUUCCUGCGCUACAACCUUUGAGAGAUUCUAUAUCUCGAUUAAGUGACUAUUAAUGAUUUCUUUUUUUUUUACAAAAUACCAUAGACCUAAUAUCUGUCUGAUGUUAAAAAAGUGGUCUUUUUUCAGCUUUGUAUGGGUUAAGUUACUAGGUGACAUAAAUUUCCAGCCAAAACCAUGCGUAGAAAUGGUCAGAAGAGGUGCGCCAUAGUUCCAACAUUUGAUGGUAGACAUGUUUAACGGAGCCUUUCUUGAGGAACACUGAACUUGUAUCUUUACCAGAAUCAUAACAUCUGACAGACAUCAACACAGCUUGGAGGCUCUGAUGUGGAGAGCUAUCAAACAACUAUCACUUGAAGAUCAAGACGAGUAGAAUAUUCUCUUUAUUAUUAGGAUGUUAUAUGUUGAUGUUAUACAAUAACUAUUAGGAUGUUAUAUGUUGAUGGUCUAUUUAUAAAAUUGGUUUUAUAAUCUUAUUUGGGAUA